rnacentral:lncRNA from 1 species
UCUGGAGACGGGGCAGAACGGAAGCACAGUUUUCCUUCUCUUUGGCUUCAUGUUUCUAUGUGGAGGCGCCUUCAUUAGACGACCAGUCCUGGGCUCCCUGAGCGAUCUGAGGGGCAUUUGUCAAGCACCUACUGUGCAGAGUGCAGGGGGGACAUCAGCUCUCAAGCAGCGUCUGCUCUGAUGGGAAGACCCUGACCACGACCUACGUCAGAAUGAAACGUCUUCCAGGUAAGAGAUGACAAACGUUGGACCUAGAGGGGCAGAGAGGAAGGAGCUGUUAAUUUUGGCUCGAGAGGUGCAGAACUCCGGGAAGACCGAGGGGGAACAUUUGAGCAGCAACAUGAAGGACAGGAAAAGUUUCAAGGCAAAGGAGGAGGAACGGAAGAACACUCCAGGAUGAGGGAACCGCUUUAGCAAAGUGGGAGAUGCAGCGAGGGCUGGGAAACACACCUGUGUGGAGAGAGCUGAACGGCACUGACUCGAAUGCCUGGGAGGGGAUCUGGAGGAAUGGAGGUAGGUGGCCAAAGACAAGGGACUUCAGACCUUCGUUGCAGGAGGUGGCUAGCUGGGACCGUGUGAAGAUAGGUUGGGUCCCAACAUUUCACCAUCAGGAAACCCCUUUCAUAACUUUACCUCCAUAGAUCCCACACUUUUAUUUCAGCCCUUUCACAAAUCAUGUUUAUUAAUAGUCCAUGAGGCGGUAUUGGGGUACACUUUCGGUAGUUCUUUUAAAUAUUGACGAUCCAUAGAUAAUCCGAAAGUGCCAGGUUGGGAACCAAGAGAAGUCAAAGAGCAGAGAUCUGCAGGCCCCCUGGUCAACGCCCACAGUCGCCUGGACCAGAAGUGACAGAGCCUGAGUUAAGGCAGGGCUGGGGUUUCCGAAACCCCAUACCUGGGAACAGGUAUGGGAUAGUCUGCGGUUGCAACGGACAGGACGUGUGAGCGACUGCGGCCAAGGAGAGGGAGGAAUAGAGAGCCGGUGAUUCGGAGGCCCUGGCCCAGGGAGGGAAUGUCACUGGUGCACUAGGCGAGGGUGGGGGCGCAGGAGCCCCAAGGCUGGGAGGGGAGAGUUGGGGAGACAGGGACACUCUUAGUCUGGGGUCCAUGCAGUCAGCCACGUGGAGUUUGCCAGCAGGAAGUCAGGAGCCUGGGAGGCAUCUCAAGACAUUUUCCCAGGGGCAGAAAACCUGGGACUCCGUUGACCUUGCAGCCUCACACUCAGUGCACAGAGUGGGACGAGCGCCCUCCCGGGCCUCCACCUUCUGUUACCUUCUGCUCCAGUCCAUCCCUGAUCACGUAGAGCCGGCCUCCUAAGAUCCUCCGCAUCUGUCUCUCAGACCCUGGGUGCUUGUCAACUAUAAGAAGGAGAAGAUGGGGUUAGGGAGCGAGUGGAUGGAGGGGCUCUGGACAGCACUUGGCCACUGCCUGCCGUCCCUGCACAGCCUGCGGUCAGCCUGGUUUAGAGCAGUGCUGUCGGUCAUGAUCAGGCCGUCUGCCCCUGUUUUGCUCCGUGGCUGCAGAGCGAGGGUGUGGGGUGGGAAGCAGUGCCCUUGCCCUGCUGUGGUCGGGUCUGAACUAUUGCCGGUGGGUGGGGGUGACCUUCAGGGCACAGAGCAGAGUUUUCAGAGUGGGGCCCUUUGCUGCCAAUCCCCCUUCCUGGUCAGGUUGACAGUGCUGCUCAUGGGCUGCCAGACAGAUACCUGGUGGGGGCACAGCCCCACCCCAAUACUGUCCAUGAACGCAGCCCUCUGUGCCUGCCUGCACCUGGAAUUCGGAGCACAGUCCCCCAGGAGCUGGGGCUGGGUCAGGGUCUUCUGGAGUAGGAACAGCUGUCCCACUCCAGGUAAAGCCAGUCUUAAUUCUGGGGCCAAAUGGUCCUCAAUGCAUGGACUUCACCAACAUCAGAAUCACUUGUCGGCUUGUUGAAAUACAGAUUCCAGAGUUUCCGUCGUGGUGCAGUGGAAGCCAGCCUGACUAGGAUCCAUGAGGAUGCAGGUUCAAUCCCUAUUGUCGCUCAGUGGGUUAAGGAUCUGGCGUUGCUGUAGUUGUGGCGUAGAUCUUCAGCUACAACUCCAGUUCAGCCCCUAGCCUGGAAAUUUCCAUAUGUUGCAGGUGGGGCCCUAAAAAGAAAGAAAGACAGAUUCCCAGGCUACACCCCAGGUCUGCUACAUCGGAAUCUCUGUGGUAGUGAUUUACAUUUUUAACAAGCUUUCCAGGUGGCUCAAGUGCAAAGCCUGAGACCCACUGCUGGAGAAUCAGCCUCGUUACUAUGAUGCUUGAUUUUCUAGAACCACACGCUUGUGUCUGAAUCUGGGUAACUGACUCUGGUCUUCCCGCUUCCCGCUCCUGAGUCCUCCCGCUUCUGGCGGUAGGUGCGUCCUCUUAGCAGGUCCACGGUGGUGGGGAGCUGGACAUGCAGGGCACGGCCAGCAGGGGAGGGGGCAGGUUGCUGGACAAGAAAAAGGCUCUGAUCCUGGUCGCUGAUGGAGGGAGAGUUGAAAUUACACCAAUGGGCCAGAGCUGAAGUUCACACACAGCCAUGGGAGCCAGCUCGGAGAGAAGUUUGCUUUGGGAAAUACUGGGUUUAAGCUGCAGCAGGAUGUCCAAGGGCCUUGUCUGUGACAGGUGGCCAUUUAGGCCUGGUGCUCUGAGGGUGGGGCAGCGGGGAUGCAGAUCAGCACCAGCACAGAGGUGGUAGGUGACGUGGAGGAGGAGGUGGGUGAAACCGUCCAGGGAGAGGGUGGAGAGCAUUGGGCCCCGGGGACGUCAUGAUUCUAGAAGCGAGUGGCUAAGAGCUGGGGCGGCUGCGAGGUGGGAUGCUGUGGUGAGGAGAGGACCUCAAGGAAGGAGGCUGAUUGUGCAGGAGACACUCCAUCCGGGAGCCACGGGGACCGAGUGGGAACACUGACUUUAAUAAGCCACUGGCUCUGCGUCCUGGCGAGGCAGCAGUGGAGGCGAGCCUUCAUGUGCUUUGGCUCUGCUCUAAGUGGGGGGACGCUGGGGCGGUGGAGCACCUGUGCGUUUGGCUUCCCUGAGGGGCUGGUGUGGACUCUCGCACAAUCGGGCUGCGAACUGGACAGUAGAAGGGUAGCCCCUCCUCUGACAUGUCACUGUGUCCUCCCUGCGCAGCUGGGCUUGGCCGAGGCUGAGCUGUCACCAUUUGUCCCAAACCGGCUGCCCCUUCCCCACUCCCCAGGCGGCCCAGAAUACCGCAGCCCCAGCUGCUCCUCCAGCCAGAAGCUGCACUCUGCUAAAUGAGCUGGGGUUGCUGGAACUUUCCCGUCCGCCUAGGCCACUUAAACUUCCAGGUUGGUUGAACACCAGCCAGUUUUCCAUUUGGGUUUGAGGUGCCCCCCCUCCUUGCAGCGCUGCGCCCCCUGGGGUUGAAGAGACUGGCGGCGGAGCUCUGGCUCCCAGUGGUGCGGCAGCUCUGGGGGAGGCACGGAGGUGGGGACGGAGGCUGAUCAGUGCCGCCUGGCUUCACGCUUUCUCCCCACGGUGAAAACCCAGCUGGCUCCUUCCCCCUGGUUUGUCUGCGAAGCUGUAUCUGGUAUUUAUAGAGGACUGAACCAAGGGCCAAUCAGCUCGGAAUGGAAAUUCCUGAGCCUGGAGUUCUCUGGAGCAACCGGCUCCUGGCUUUCUCUCUCCCAGGAGUUCAGCUGAGGUUUUUCUCCUGAAAACUUUCAAGCUCCGAGAAGUUGGAAGAGGCACAAAUGGGGGGUGUACGUGAAAACACACUGACUAUCUUCCUCUGGGUGUGGACACCUCGUGGUUUUUGGCAUUGAUGGCCAGAGGCGGGGAGGGGCCGGAGGAUGAAUCGCUGGGGGGCCCCGGGAGCAGCUGCAGAGCCUGGCUCUCUGGCGGUGACAGGCAUUGUCUCCUGUUCCUGCGGCCUCCAGGAUUUCCCGCUUCUGAAAUCACGUGUCCGAACUGACCUACUGGGCAUCAGCCACAACCAGCGGUUGUUGUUAACACGAACCUUCCAGCUGCAAGGAAAAGGGACUGUGAGAGAUUUGACAUUUAAAAAGACAGCCAGAAUGAGUGAGAUAUCGACUGACACACUCACUAAAUGUCACCACUUUUGUUUCUUUUCAAUGUUCAGCGCCUAAGUUAUUCUAAAUUAAUUACAUAGCCGCUUGAUUUAUUCCUUACAUUCCCCCUCGCUGCUCCCUCCCACCCUCUGCAGACUGAGAAGCAGCGCGGUGGCUUAUCCCCUUUGUUCUCAAGUUCCCUGGUUGUGAAAAUGACAGGCCUUCAAGGAAAGAGGAGAUGGUCCAGGCAGCAGUGCUGCAACAGGCUCUCAGGGUGCAGUUCAGAGGCGGGGUCUGACCACGGCCACCAUCAAAGCAAGGACACCCCUGUCCCACAGGUGGGGUGGUAAGGCUCAGAGAGGGCACUCCAUAGGCCCAGGGUGGACUGGGGAAGCUGGGGGAGCCAGGACUUAGCCCAGCUCUCCUGGCUUUAGGCUCUUGAGUUUUCCAGAUCUAUUGGGGUCAAAGAGAUGAAUCCAUCCUCAUAUGGCAGAUCUGGCAGGAAACAGGUAGCUGCUGGAAUGAAAAGCGCCUACAGCGAAUACAGUUGUACCCCUGCUUCACUGCCAGGGAGCGGGCCCCUGGGAGCGUCAAGGCAGUCCCAGGUUCGAGACCAGGG